UGACAUUAAACCUGGUAAGGAUUUCCCGGGGCCCGAAGCAACAACCAAAAUCAGAAGUGCUCUGUCUCAAGACAGAAGAAAUAAUCUCCAAUUCUCUGAAUCAGCUGGGCUCUGCGGGGGUCAUGGCAAAUUCCUCCAUGAGGAAACUGAGGUUCGACUUAAUUUUUUCACCCCUGUUGUCUGACAUUCCAUCCCUGGGAUUAAUUUGUGAAUACAGAAUCCAAUGCUUCAGCCCAAACUCCUCUUUCUUUCUUAGACCUGGGGGAAUUAUUUGAGAACGUGUCUUCAACCCCUUCAAAAUAAAUGAAUGUUUGUGUGUUUUCCAAAGGGAGGAAGAGCAUGAGACAGAGGGACGUAGGGGACACAGAUCAUUCUCUUCCAGAUCAAAGGCAGCCUGGGAAUGAACAUACUCAGUGCCGUGGUUGGGGGAAUAGGGGUAAUCAUCUUAACAGUAGAACUGGCUGUGGAUCAUGGAUCGGAAAAAAGGUGUCUUAUUCUUAGGGUAUUCGAGACUGUGAUAUUAGUCCUCUCCCUGCUGGAAGUCAGCAUCACUAUCUCUCUUUCUGUGUUUGGGUGCAAGGUGACCUGCUUUGUCACACAGGUAAGUGGUCAGGGCCCGAGGGAGGGUUCACAUUUGUCAUGUGAUACUGAGUCUGUGUUCCCGUGCAGCCUCUCACUGUGUCUCUUCUCCCUGAACAAUGAGAAGCCUAAAGCAGCAGCGUGAAGGAAAGAUAGUUGAGCAUGUGACUCCUUCCUGAACUUGGAGAGGACAGCGGAACACAGGGAGAGCUAUGGCAGAUGUUUCCGGAAGCCUCCUCGGUCUUGCUGGAUAUUGAUGUUUAUCUAGUGGGGCUGUAAGGACGUGAAGGAAGGGAUUUUAACUCUCAGGUCCCAGGACACAGAAAAGAAGUAGGGCCCCCCAGGAUGAGUUGAAUCCCUCUGGCUGGAAGAGUAUGUGGAUAACAAUAAUAUUAUUCCCAAUCUUCACAGGUGGUGGUUAUCCAGCCAACCAAUGACCAGGUGCCUCCAGUAAAGGCCCCUUAUGAACAUGUCUAUGAGGAUCUGGAGUUUUAACAGAAGAGUUCCUGCUUUUAGAAAAAAUUAUUCAUUGAGCGUCACUAGGUCAAUAAUAACCUGCCUGCCAGAAAGGGUUCACAUCUGUGCGUGGGAACAUAGUUAUUACAAAACCAAAUAAAAUACAUUUUCC
rnacentral:lncRNA from 1 species